AAGAGAAACUCACAUCUACUACUAUGAGAGUUAGUUAGUACUCCCUUAUUUCUGCUUAUCGCCUGUUAUAAAAUUACAACAAUGCCUUGCUAGCUGACUUAACGUUACUUUUCCACUGUCGACGCACUGUUUCCUGAAGCAUUCUGCCCUGUUCUGAAAGAACUCCCAGGGUUUACCGUCAUGUUGUGGAUGUUUGGUCAGGACGAGUCGUUUUAUUAAUUUGUUCAUUAUGCGAGUCUCAUUACUAAGCACUUCCACACACAAAACUCAUUGUGGGCGCUCCUCAUAAGUUUGUAUGAAAGAGAGAGAAACUCAUCACUGUGUUUGCGUUUCAUGACGAUUGAGCUCAGUCAGAACUUGUGGCUAGCAUGAAUCCGUUUUAUGACAGCUGUGAGUUGAUGGUGAGUGGGAAUAACAAGUCAGUGGUUUGAACGACAGCGCUGCAGCGUGUGGGUCACGGAGUGAUCUUCAAGAAAACUGCAGAAAAAAGAUCCGGUAAACCCCGAAGCACAUGGGCAUCUCCCUCUAUCUCUCCCGAGCAGAGACCGAGCAGAGACCGAGCAGAGACCGCUGCUUUAGCAGAAAGUAACUGAACAGAGAGCGCAGUUGCGCUUGGCCAAAUCAAUUCCAGUAAUGAAUGAAACAAUUAUAAAUCUACACUGACACGUCGCGUCCCAUACUUUAAGAAAGGCGGGUGUAGAUGAAGGGGAGGAGACAGGUUAAAGAAGGAUGUCUAAGCCUUGAGACAAUUGAGACAUGGAUUGUGUGUGUGUGCCAUUCAGAGGUGGAAUGGGCAAGACAAAAGAUUUAAGUGCCUCUGAACAUGGUAUGGUAGUAGGUGCCAAGCGCACCGGUUUGAGUCAAGAACUGCAACGCUACUGGGUUUUUCAUGCUCAACAGUUUCCUGUGUGUAUCAAGAAUGGUCCACCUUCCAAAGGCCAUCCAGCCAACUUGUGGGAAGAAUUGAAGUCAACAUGGGCCGCGCAUCCCUGUGGAACGCUUUCGACACCUUGUGCCCGGAUGAAUUGAGGCUGUUCUGAGGGCAAAGGGGGGGAAUGCAACUCAAUAUUAGGAAGCUGUUCUUAAUGUUUUGUGCACUUAGCCAGUAUAUGUAUGCCAUAUUUGAUGCUUUAUCAACCAUCUUAAUAUGUUGGCUAAAGUACUUGAAGACGUAACACCCUUAAAGGAGUUUACUAGCUAAGGCUGCCUAAUAAUGAAACAAUAGCUUCUGCGUGGAAUUUCCUAUGUUGGCACUAACCAUUUAUAAAAGGGCGUUUGUUAAAUAGUGGACUUGGGGGCAGACUGUUUGUUUCAGGCCAGUCGAGUUUGAACGCAGGCAGCAUGUGGAGGAAAUGGAUCGCUUAGGCCCACUGAGGUUCAAUAGAAUCUGGGAUCGCAUUAAGGAAUGGAUAGUUGUUUUUGCAGGGAGCUAUUGUGUUCCUGUUGUUUACCAACCAGUAGCCAGUGUGCAUAAGGCACCGGAACAGCUCUGUGGAAAUCAAAAUGGAGGCCUGAUAUCCACUCCUCGUUUGUUACAUUGGAGUGGAUGCCCAGAUGAGACCCACAGAGGACAUUCAUAGAGGGUUCAUAAAGAGGGUUAUAACUUAAGUUGCAUAUAGAUUUCAAGCUGUGUUGUCUAAUGUCUACCUCUGUCUUGGGCUGUUUUGUGUGAUGGAAUGUAUGUGUAUCUUGUCCUGGUGUAGGCAGUGAUGGGGAGAGCAGUGCAGUGUCUAAUAAUGAGCCUGAUGUGGAGUACACUGAAGUGGUACACCGUCAACCUGUGGACCCUGCCAGAGUUCCCCUGAGAAAAGGCACAGAAUCGGUGUACAGUGAAGUCCAGAACUCCCCAUCCGGUACACCUGGUGACCAUUAUGACAAUCAGGGUUCAGUGGAGUACGCCUAUCUCAACGGUGACCAACCGGAGGUCAACCAGGACAUGCUGGAGGUCAAUCACCAGGACCACCAUGACCUGGAGUAAAGGUUACCUCUGAUCCCUCGCGACACCUCACUCUAGGACCACAAACUAAAUUAUCCCCACCUCUGCCCCCGACCUUAACCACAGUCCUUAUUGUCAUAUUGUUCUUAUAUUCUGUACCUUUUCCCUAGAAGGAAAAUUGUUGACUCAUGUAAGCUGUAGGUAUUUUGCAUAGUUUUAUAGCCAAGUAAAAUCACAAAUCCUAAUUAGGACUUACUGUAUAGUUCUAUCAUACCUUGUAGACUUAUCUUUGUUUACCUUUUCAUCAUGUCUCAUAACCAUAGAGGUUGGGACAGAGUUCAGUUAGCCUGGCCCCUCCCUCGAACACAGUUCUCUUUCAUCUCCUAAAUGGACAGCAUGACAGUUAUGCUCUGUCAUGAUGGCUAAAACAAUCCCCCUUUCAGACUUCCGUUGCAGGGCAGUGUGAGUGGACUGAUAACCUCCCUACUGUCACUAGACUGGGUCCACACCUAAACCAGGGCACACUCCUGUAGGGCCAUCCCUGAGUCACACUAUGGCAAUAACUAUGGGAAAAAAGAGUGAAUGUAAACAGAGGAUCUGCCUGUCACCAGCUGCUCAGCCUGAUGGUAUAUGGUGUUUGUGAUGUCACAUCCUGCCAGGCUGUGUCCAAGUGUGUCGAAAGUUGGAGGGAGAACAGUGUCAGGCCUGAAGUGACUCAGACAUACAGAAUUGUACAUGGUUUUAAAAUACCUUCUUACUGCAGUUACUGUUUUUGUAAGGUCACACACAAAAUAAUCCAAGUAAAGUCAAGGUAAUGUUAAAAAAUAAAUAAAAAAUAAAUCUUUCUAAACUUUGAGUAUCGUAUGUUAAGUUAUUACGGUGUGUUAUGCAAUACGUUAUAUUAAUAGAGAAUGGUUACAAUCAUCCUGUAAAUUACAACACCAUUGUAAGUUCUCCCGAGUGGCGCAGCAGUCUAAGGCACUGCAUGUCAGUGCUAGAGGCAUCACUACAGACCCUGGUUCGAUUCCAGGCUGUAUCACAACCGGCUGUGAUUGGGAGUCCAAUAGGGCGGCUUACAAUUGGCCCAGCGUCGUCCGGGUUAUGGUUUGGCUGGGGUAGGACGUCAUUGGAAAUAAGAAUUUGUUCUCAACUGACUUGCCUAGUUAAAUAAAGGUUAAAUAAAAAAGUAACCAAUAUCUAAUAUAGUGGUCUAUGAUUAUUGUAAUAUUCAGCAUGGCCAGUAGAGGGCAGCAUCCUCUUAAAAAUACAGUGACGUGUGUACAAGAAAAUUACUGCUGCCUUAUCCUCCACAGACCAUCGCUGUGGGGAGUUAUUGUUGUGUGGGUUCCGCCAUCUUGUGACUAAAAGUAGUAUGUGUCAGAUAGUUUCGAAUCAUAAGAGCGAUAAGGGCCCAUAUCUCCAAUUCUCGGCUUAGUAGUGCUGAUCUAGGGUGUCCAUAAUGUUAUUUAUUAUGAUUUAUAAAAGCUAUAACUGGUCCUAGAUCAGACAGCACUCCUACUCUGAGACGCAUUUCAAAUACAUAAUCCUGAUUCUGUUUUGUUUAUUUUGGAGAGGAGAAUCCUAUUGGGUUGUUUUUGUGAAACUAUAAUAAAUGUAGGCCUAUGCCAUCUUAAACUUAGAGCACUUGCAGAGUAACUCUGUCUUCUUAGAAACAGAUAAACACAAUUUUCACACCUUCACGCGUUCAUACAACUGUGACGCCUUCCUCGAGUACAGUGCAGACUGUCUAUCCUGCGUUGUACCCUCGUAAUCAUCUCUCGUUGUCUCGACAACAGAACCUACCGUCAAUUAUCUAAAUUGUCAUUUCCCCUAUUUGAUAACCUCAAUGCCAUUGUGGAACUGUAAUUGCAGCAUUGACAUGGCAACCACAAAUAAACCCUCUUCGUUCUAAGGCUCAUUUACAUAAUGUCCCCAGUUGUCGCUCUCGCUCUGUCAUCGUGGUCAGAAACCUGUUAAAGACUAAUUAAAGGACAUUACCAGGAUGACCGUAACAUCGCUUGAGUGCUUCGAUAGUUGGCCUGUGUUAAUGGAAUCAUGACGCUGUGCUUUUGGAUGAAUAAAUUCGGUUAAUUUGUGCGCACCAUUUUUCACAUCCUAAAUGGGAAGUGGAAUAAUAUGUUUUGCUGGAUCAGACAAGAUGAGAGUAGCCUAUAAUAUGAUAGUAAUAUAACUGUUAUGUAGCCAAAUAGCAUUGUUUUAUAGCUGAAACAUAUAGCAUCAUUGGCCUAAUGAAAUGGCAGGGACCAGGGUAACAGUUACAGUGCUCAUACAUGCUUCUAUUUGAAAUAUAAUUCCCAUUAUUGACUUACAGAUAAAAUAAAACAAUAGAUAAACAUCCUGCCACCCUUCCCGCCCAAUACUAUUGUUCCUGCCCAGCAGGCACUGUAAGUGUUGCUAAUACUGGCAUGUGGUGAAUGGGUGUGGAGAGAAACCUGUAUAUUUGUUUUGUCUAUCUGUCAUUACAGUAGCCGACUUAGUACUUAGUGUGUUUGCAUUAAUGGAAGUAGAUUGGACUGACUGUGAAAACAGGGCGGAAAAGAAUUAACUCGCAUGACAGUAGUUGAGAUGGUGUGGACAAACCAAGUGUGUGCAGAGCAACUGUCAAAUCAGUUCAUCAGCCAAUCGUGUGAUAGUUUAGAUGACUGUGAGAAGAGCUGGCACCCUUUAAUGCGAUGUUAGUCAUAACACCUACUAGUAUUUGUACAUAAGCAGAAAAGUUGUGAAGUUGUGUUAUCUGUCUGUGUUCGGAAGGAAAACACAUCUAUGUAAACAGCAUUAGGGUGCCAAACUUUAAGAAUUCUAUUAUCUGAAAUUAAGCAAGGGAAUGCAAGUAAACAGCCUAUCGUGCACUGUAACUAAUAGAUGUGUGUGAAUUACACCUCUUAGAUCCAUGCACGUUAUUUCUUUAAAAGGGUGAUGAAAAGUAUUGUCAUCUGGGUUCAAAAUAAAAUUCUGGGCAAUAGCAAUGAAUACAAGAACUUAACAUAGGCUGAAACCUGUCUGAAAGAAGUGCCCUGUCUGCUCUUGCCCAUAGGGCAGAGAAAGAAUACCAGUUUGUCACUGGUAUGCUGUCAGUUAGAUUGUUUGCACGUCCUUAUCUGGUCUAUUUGCAUUUAUGCAGCUCAGCUGUUAAAAUGGACUUUGUGUAAGCUUUAUUUGCCCUAAGCCAUCUUUAUUAAAUAUAUGCUGAAAAUGCAGUUUAUGACUGACUCGGUUGUAGAGUAUGUAUGUCAUCAGUGUUUCAGUAUUGACCAAUACUGUGACUAGCUUUUAGUGCACUCAAGGACGAUACAUAGACAAUUAGCUGCAGAGGUUUUGUUAGUAAUCACCAGCACACUGUUACAAUCAUGCCUAAAAGAUCACAAGACAAUCUAGGUCUAAGAUCCCUCCCAAUGUGUUCUCCAGUGUCAUAAAUCAUUUUAUAAAAAGGCUCAGUGUAGUGUAUUUGUAGAAAAUCAAAGGUGAGGAAUUAAAAAUAUAUAGAAGGUGUCCCUUUGAUAAGAGAGAUCAAGGAGCACACAGCACUUGUCUGUAGAUAUAGAACAUUUGACCUAUCACAGGAAAUUUUAAUCCAAAAUCAGUUAAAUAAAACAUUUCAAUUCUAAUAGUCUUCUAUGGACGAGGGACUUAUCUCGGAACACACAACCUAAAUAACUACCGCUGUGUACACCUUUUCAAGUUUGAAUGUCACGUGCACAAGUACAGUGAAUUGUCUUUCUUGCCCGCACCAAACCCAGCAAUGCAGUAAUCAAUAUAAUGUGGCACUAAAAAUAACAUAAGGUAGAACAAAAACACUAAAAUAGGAAAUAAGAACACAAGAAAGUAAGAAGCUAUACCGGGUCAAUUCUCUAUUCAUAUACUGUCCAUAUUGUCCAUACACACCAUUAUAUAUACUGUAUAUUUAUAUUCUGGUCUCUGACAUUGUUCGUUCUGAUAUUUCUUAAUUUAAAAAAAAAUGUGUGUUGUUUUUUUUGUUUAACGCUAGGUAUUACUGCACUGUUGGAGCUAGAAACACAAGCAUUUCGCUGCACCUGCUAUACCAUCUGCAAAUCUGUGUAGACAACAAAUAAACUUUGAUUUCAAGUCUAAGAAAUAUGUUUACAAUGACAGUAUCAAAAAUUGUGUACAAGGUUUUAUGCUAGCGUACUGUAAAUGUAAACAAUAUAAUACUAUAUUAUUUGUUACCUAAUUUUAUAUUGUACUGUAUAACAUCAAAUGUCAAGGUUACUGAAUGGAAACACCAUGUAUGAAUUAGAAAAAUUGUCAUUAUUAUUUUCAAUUCAUGAAAUUGACUUAUAUUAAUUCCCUAAACUGACAGUGUUGAGUUGAAUUUAAUUAAUUACAACAUUGCUGGCCAUAAUAACAACGUGGUAUGAGUAAGUGUUGUUUGACGUGUUCAGGAAGUACUGUACAAAGUCUGCGACGGUUAGGUCACAGGAGCUAGCUCACCCCAAAUAAGGAGCCAUCAGCACACAUCAUAAUGAUGUUUUCCUAUUCAUGGUCAUCACUAUGCUGACGCUGCACUGAAUACGUUGAUUAACCAGUUGUCAUUUCCCAAUAGACCUUUCCUCCAUAUAGAAUCUUUCUAGAUCCUUGAUAUCCUUCGUCUGCGUGUAUGGACUGCCCUCUUCAAUUCAAACCACAGGAGACUGAGCUUGCCAUUGCAAAAUAUAGAUUUGCUGGUAAAGUUACCAUAUAUUUGUGGAUUUUGAUGUGUGCUUGGGGUUAUUGUCUUGCUGGAAGACCCACUUGCGGCCAUGUUUCAGGGGACAGGAGCUGAUCUAUGCUACUAUGCCCAUCAAUGGGGCGCUGGCAAAGACCUCACCUCGUGCUUGCUUUCCAAUGGUCGUCAAUGGGGAGAACAGAAAUAGAAACAUGUAUGAAGCCAGCACAUGGGGACUUGCAAGAUGAUGUGAUGAGGUCCAGAUGGGCUUGAUACUGAUGUCUCUGAAUGGAGAGAGACCUGGCACUCGGCAUAAAUCUUUUACUAGACAAAA